GAGGUUGUGGCUCAGUGGUGGAGCACUUGCCUAGUAUGCAUGAGGCACUGAGUUCAAUUCUUAGCACCACA
rnacentral:tRNA from 1 species